rnacentral:rRNA from 1 species
UGGGCAACCUGCCCCCGACCCUGGGAUAACCCCGGGAAACCGGAGCUAAUACCGGAUACUCUCCUCUGACCACCUGGUAGGAUGAGGAAAGGUCCGCCGGUCGGGGAUGGGCCCGCGGCCUAUCAGCUUGUUGGUGGGGUAACGGCCUACCAAGGCAUCGACGGGUAGCUGGUCUGAGAGGACGACCAGCCACACUGGGACUGAGACACGGCCCAGACUCCUACGGGAGGCA